rnacentral:rRNA from 1 species
UACAGAGGGGGCAAGCGUUGUUCGGAAUUACUGGGCGUAAAGGGCGCGUAGGCGGCCUUCUAAGUCGAACGUGAAAUCCCCGGGCUCAACCCGGGAACUGCGUCCGAUACUGGAAGGCUUGAAUCCGGGAGAGGGAUGCGGAAUUCCUGGUGUAGCGGUGGAAUGCGCAGAUAUCAGGAGGAACACCGAUGGCGAAGGCAGCUCGCUGGGACGGUACUGACGCUGAGGCGCGAAAGCGUGGGGAGCGAACAGG